UGCCCAGACCUAUGGAAGGGAUCGUAGCUUUGUUGCUCAACGCAAACUCUCCAAUGUCUUUCGCCAUUUUUUGGAGAGAGAAUCAAAUUGGUCUUCCAGAAGAGAGAGAAAAGAGAGAGUGGGUUUAGGCCUUAAGGGAGUGAACAGUGCUCUCCUCCUCGGCUCCUCCUCCUAACGAGGGAAUGGGAGAAUCUUUCGCCGGCACGUUUCUAUCAAUGUUUUGAUAAAGUUUAAAUUACUAUUCAGUUAAAUGGAGUAUUGUUUUUUGACAGCGGUUAACUCAUAACAAAUCACUCCACCCACGAUUUAUUAUCUAUUUCUUUUCUUUCUCCUACUUUGUAUUCGUAUUUUCUCAUAAAUUUUUUUAAAAAAAUUUAAUUUUUUUUUCUUGAUUGCAACCCAUAUAGACUAGCUAGUGUCAAUAAAGCCUCCCGCUUUAUAAUUUAUAAUAAUAAGAGAUUAUGAUUUUUAUUGAAUUUGUCCUUUAUUUUAUAAAUAAUGUUGUGAACAGAAACUAUAUAUAAAAAAUUAUCAGUAGCCAUAAUAAGAGAGAAAAGAUGGCAAAUAUAAUCUUUCAUCAAACUUUGAAACUGUUUGGUAGUUAUGUUAUGACAAAAACAAAAUGUCUUUGAGACAACAUAUAAUAUCUAGUUAAAUUGAUAUCAUAUUACCUUUAGGUUCAAGUUAACUUUAAAUUUUAAGAUUUUAUGACUUGUUCAUAUUAUUUUAAUAUCAUUAGACUUGAACUUUUAAUUUUAACUAUAUCACUCGGUCUAAUUCUUCCUUGGUAGCAUAGGGUUUUAAAUUACACCCAACCAACAUUCAAAUAUGGAAAAUCACCAUCAAAUUCAAUGAAGUUCAUGUCACCAGUCAGCCUUACAAGUUGUUUAAGACUUGAGAGACAUAACAAUAGAGGUCUUGCUCUUAUGGAGUUGAGAGAAAAGUUUUCUUUCACUUGUAUCAGUUAUGACAUUUGGCUUGUGCCACAAACUACUAACAACGUCGACCAUUUUGAGGGUUUAUCACAUCAAUUGCUGCUAUGAAACAGCUCGAAUAAAAUAAGGCCGAUGUCUACAAGAAAUUAAAAUAAAGGGGGAGAGAAGGAAGAAAAUCCUCAUUGAAUCUACUUUUCGCAAUGUAAUAGUAAUUUUCUGCACUGAAAUGAGAUGCACUUUGUUUUCGCUCAGAUCUCACCAUCCCAGAGUUCUUCAACAGUUUUGUAGGCCCCAAGAGUCUCAUGCACAAAUCCAGUGCCUUUAAGUAGCCUUGCCUGCCUUACCAAAAACCAAGAUUCAAUCAUCAUUUAUUCAUUUAUGAAACUGAAUCCUUUCUCACUAGUAAACAGAUACAUUGUUCUAAUUCUUCUGUAAUGGUGAAAUGAAAUCAUGACCAGGCAAAACCUUUUGGUAUAUACAGUUAUCCUGUCCAGUAUAUCUCACCUAAGCUGUCUGAAAAGAGCUAUACUAUAUUGUAUGGCAAGAAAACCAAAAGGAAGAGAAAAGGAAAGCUGGAUGAGAAAUCUUUUCAACAAAAUAUGAACAUUGAGAGGGAUUGAGCACAUAACAUCAGAGAACCCUGCCACUAAUGAGGAGAGAUUGGAGGCGAAGCAACAACCGAACUAUAACAACAAACAAACUCCUAAACAAGAGAUUUUAUGUACAAUUGUUCAUAUCUGAUGACUAGCAUCAAAUUAAGGCAGUCAGAUUUAACAAACUGAAAUUUGAAUACAUAUGUACACACAUACACCAAGCGGUGUGUGUGGAAGAAAGACGAGUUUAAUAUUUUAUUUGUAGUUAAUAAUUUAUGUUGAGGUGACUUUGGUACCCCUACGUUUUGGUGUUAACGGAUCCCAAGUUAUUUAAUGGAAUAUAUAUGAAUGGUCAAAGGUCUAAUGCAAGUUGAUGGUUUUAGUGCUUUGGAAUAAGAAAUAUUAUGUAUUUUAGAUGCAGGUUAGGUUCUGUAAUGUUCCCACUAAUUUGGAGUGCUACAUUACUUAAUUUGCAUAAAUAAAUAAAAAAACAGAAACUAAAGUUCAGGUAUACUUGCCUGUUCAAUUUCAUUAAACUUGGCAAACAAGUCUUCAGGUAUAGACCAUUCAAAGACAUCAAAGUUUUCCUUAAUCCUAGCCUCAUUUAUGCUCUUAGGGAGCACACUGUGACCCUUCUGCAAUCCCCAGCGAAGAGCAACUUGUGCAGGAGACUUGCCUAGUUUUUCUGCAACCGUAUUGAGCACGGGGUUCUUGAGGACAUC
rnacentral:lncRNA from 1 species